rnacentral:rRNA from 1 species
UGGGGAAUAUUGGACAAUGGGGGGAACCCUGAUCCAGCCAUGCCGCGUGUGUGAAGAAGGCCUUAUGGUUGUAAAGCACUUUAAGCGAGGAGGAGGGUACUGGUAUUAAUACUACCAGGUACUGGACGUUACUCGCAGAAUAAGCACCGGCUAACUCUGUGCCAGCAGCCGCGGUAAUACAGAGGGUGCGAGCGUUAAUCGGAUUUACUGGGCGUAAAGCGUGCGUAGGCGGCUAAUUGAGUCGGAUGUGAAAUCCCCGAGCUUAACUUAGGAAUUGCAUUCGAUACUGGUCAGCUAGAGUAUGGGAGAGGAUGGUAGAAUUCCAGGUGUAGCGGUGAAAUGCGUAGAGAUCUGGAGGAAUACCGAUGGCGAAGGCAGCCAUCUGGCCUAAUACUGACACUGAGGUGCGAAAGCGUGGGGAGCAAACAGG